UCCAUUGUCGUCCAGGGGUUAGGAUAUCUGGCUUUCACCUAGGAGAACCGGGUUCGAUUCACGGCAAUGGAC
rnacentral:tRNA from 1 species